GAUGAACGCUGGCGGCGUGCCUAAUACAUGCAAGUCGAGCGGAAAGAUGAGGAGCUUGCUCCUCUGACGUUAGCGGCGGACGGGUGAGUAACACGUGGAUAACCUACCUAUAAGACUGGGAUAAAUUCGGGAAACCGGAGCUAAUACCGGAUAAUAUAUUGAACCGCAUGGUUCAAUAGUGAAAGACGGUUUUGCUGUCACUUAUAGAUGGAUCCGCGCCGCAUUAGCUAGUUGGUAAGGUAACGGCUUACCAAGGCAACGAUGCGUAGCCGACCUGAGAGGGUGAUCGGCCACACUGGAACUGAGACACGGUCCAGACUCCUACGGGAGGCAGCAGUAGGGAAUCUUCCGCAAUGGGCGAAAGCCUGACGGAGCAACGCCGCGUGAGUGAUGAAGGUCUUCGGAUCGUAAAACUCUGUUAUUAGGGAAGAACAAAUGUGUAAGUAACUAUGCACGUCUUGACGGUACCUAAUCAGAAAGCCACGGCUAACUACGUG
rnacentral:rRNA from 1 species